rnacentral:lncRNA from 7 species
AGAAGUAAUUAGAAAAAAAAACUAAGCCUAAAACCGCCUUUAUGUGAAGAAAUUGAAGAUAAAGGAAUUGUCUGCCACUUGCUGCAAGUAGUGAAAUAAAAUUAUCCCAUGUGCUUUUAAAACAUCUUCAGUAUAACACAUGCACUGCUUCAAGUUUGUAGGAAUCAAGAAUCUAUCCUGCAUAACUUCAGUCUUGUUGGAGUUUCCUCCUUGGUUCAGCUCCCGGUACCUCCAUUUCUUGAUCAUCUUCUGAAGUAUUAGCUCCCAGUGGAACCAGUAUGACUGAGAGGAAGUUAAAAUAUUGUGACUGAUAUAUGUCAUGCUGUAUCUGGGCAGAUGACUGGACCAGUUUGCAUCAGAUUAAACUGAGACAGAUACCAUUGCUUUGGAUACAAAUCAAAUUUGAAAUAUCUUUUCUGUGGAAUGAUCAACGUUAACUUUGUUACAUAUGAAAAUAUCUGGGCUCAUGAGAACAACUGACAUAAUUGUUUUUGAACAUCUUCCACUUGCCUUUUUCAUUCCCUCGGUCACUGUUUGUGAAGAAGAUACAGUGAUCAAAGGGAACCAACAUAUUUUGGAAUUAAAUCAAAAUGUUUGUUAAUUUUUGCUGUUGGAGAGACUUCUUUUGAGAUAGAAUGUGAUGUAUUUAUAAAUACUUAAAAUCAUUAUUCCCAGCAGCAUUAUUGCAUGACCUUUUAACCAUCUUUUCACAGGAUAACUAUUCUCCAUAUUAUUAAUGAGUAACAAGAGUUGCAGUGAUUUUUAGCUGGCAAGAAAAUCUCUUCAGGAACCCAUCAUUUAUUUAGCUGUAUACAACCUUUUGACCCUUCUUCUGUCUUUAGAUCCCUAAUGGUACCGCUAGUAGUUCAAAAUUGAAACCCCUGUUAUAGAGGAAAUUCUGAUAAUUCAAAUGGAAACAAAAGAAUUACAAAAGCUUGUGAUAAAUGGUCACUGUUACA